UACAGAGGUGGCAAGCGUUGUUCGGAAUUACUGGGCGUAAAGGGCGCGUAGGUGGCCAUCUAAGUCAGACGUGAAAUCCCCCGGCUUAACCUGGGAACUGCGUCUGAUACUGGACGGCUUGAGUAUGGGAGAGGAACGUAGAAUUCCAGGUGUAGCGGUGAAAUGCGUAGAUAUCUGGAGGAAUACCGGUGGCGAAGGCGGCGUUCUGGACCAUUACUGACGCUGAGGAGCGAAAGCGUGGGGAGCGAACAGG
rnacentral:rRNA from 1 species